UCUAAAACCCCCUUGCUAAGGUCAGACUCUGUUGCUUUUGAACUGUAGCUAAUUUAGAUUGCUCUACAAAAAGUAUGUUAUUGCCUAUAAGUAUAUAAAACUUUGUAUAUAAGUAUAUAAAACUCAGACUUUCUUAGAUCGACUGAAUCGAUGGAUUCUGUCUUUGGCUGUUGGGUCUUGAAACUGUGUUCAUCCAUUGAGUUUUAUGUCUGUUUGCCUCAAAGUUUGUAGGAAGAGAUUCAACUCGGGAAUGUAAAUCAAAAAGCUGAACUCUACCUGACCACUAGAUGGAGUCCUGCACUCACUGAACUAUCUUUUGCAAUUGUAUUGGCAGGAUAAAGGAUGACAGGCAUCAUGUGUGUCAGCUGAAGUGCUUUGGUUAACCUGCGUAUGGUUCACAUGCUGGACCUGUGACGCUCCUGAUUGGUUCAAGACAGUGUGCUUCACGCGUCGGAGGCGAAUAUGACAGAGGCUCACUGAGAAAUCACAUACUUCCUCCAAACACAAAACAUCCUGUUGCACUGGAGAGCCGGUCCACCAAUUAGGAAGACAAAGGAAAACACAAAGUACAAAUUCAGGAUCAAUGAUGGGCACAGGUGAGUCUU